CGGAAGAGAUAAGUGCUGAAAGCAUCUAAGCACGAAACUUGCCCCGAGAUGAGUUCUCCCUGACUCCUUGAGAGUCCUGAAGGAACGUUGAAGACGACGACGUUGAUAGGCCGGGUGUGUAAGCGCAGCGAUGCGUUGAGCUAACCGGUACUAAUGAACCGUGAGGCUUAACCUUACAACGCCGAAG
rnacentral:rRNA from 1 species